rnacentral:rRNA from 1 species
AGAACGAACGCUGGCGGCGUGCCUAACACAUGCAAGUCGAGCGCGAAUGGAGCAAUCCUAGUAGAGCGGCGCACGGGUGCGUAACACGUGGAUAAUCUGCCUAGAAGACCGGAAUAACCUGCCGAAAGGCUGGCUAAUACCGGAUAAGCCCACAGGGUCUUCGGACCUCGAGGGAAAAGGUGGCCUCUGUAUACAAGCUAUCACUUCUAGAUGAGUCCGCGGCCCAUCAGUUAGUUGGCGGGGGUAAUGGCCCACCAAGACUACGACGGGUAGCUGGUCUGAGAGGACGAUCAGCCACACUGGAACUGAGACACGGUCCAGACUCCUACGGGAGGCAGCAGUGGGGAAUUUUGCACAAUGGGCGAAAGCCUGAUGCAGCAACGCCGCGUGUGUGAUGAAGGUCUUCGGAUCGUAAAGCACGUUUCGGCCGGAAGAAAACCGUUGGCUAACAUCCAGCGGCUUGACUGUACCGAAGAAGAAGCACCGG